GAUGAACGCUGGCGGCGUGCCUAAUACAUGCAAGUCGAGCGAACGGACGAGAAGCUUGCUUCUCUGAUGUUAGCGGCAGACGGGUGAGUAACACGUGGAUAACCUACCUAUAAGACUGGGAUAACUUCGGGAAACCGGAGCUAAUACCGGAUGAUAUUUUGAACCGCAUGGUUCAAAAGUGAAAGACGGUUUUGCUGUCACUUAUAGAUGGAUCCGCGCUGCAUUAGCUAGUUGGUAAGGUAACGGCUUACCAAGGCAACGAUGCAUAGCCGACCUGGGAGGGUGAUUGGGCACACUGGGACAUAGGCCACGGCCCCACACCCUAGGGGGGGCACAGAGGGGAAAUUUGCGGCAUGGGGGGAAAGCUUAUCGGGCCAAGGCGGGGGGGGGAAGAAGGUGCUCCGAUUGGAAAAACCUUUUUUUUGGGGGAAAAAAAAGGUGGAAAAAACGGGGCAAAUUUGACGGGACCCAAAGAAGAAGCCCCGGCUAAACUCGGG
rnacentral:rRNA from 1 species